UCUCUCCCACAUGCAUAAUUGUGCUUUUAUUAUUCUGUGCUGAAUGCAAUUUUCAACUUGCUGUUUGAUAAAUGUAUUUGUGUAAUUUAAAUAGGUGCUAGGAAGGUUGAUGUUUCUGUCCUAUAGAUAAAGAUGAUCCUAUGCAGAAAUUCCUUUUCUCUUCCCUUUAUGCCUGUGUGGCUAUUCAGGAAAGUGUAAUCGUUGCUGAGGUGAACGUUGUCUGCUUCUCUUGAUGUUCGUCAAACUUGUACUUAUUCUCACUACUGCAACUGCUGCUAGGAGCUGAAGCCUUAUCUUCUACCAACUAAACAGCCAUUAUGAGUUAAUUUCUGGUGGAGAGCUUCUGAUGUGUGCUGAUUUGAGAUCUACAUCAGCAAAUGAGAUGGGGAAAGGAGUAAGGGAGGGAGGAAAAAAAGCAAGAUUGAGAAAGAAAAACAGCUUUAUAUGCAGCAUCCAAUAGUGCAGGUUAUCUAAUAACAGAAAUAUAGUCCUAAAAUCUUGGUUUUAAGAUUCCAUUGUUGUAAACAAACUUCUCCUUGGUCAAAAACCUUUGUCGGCAAUCUCAGCAGCUUCAAAUACUGAGCUUUCAUGGUCUUCUUAUUCACAUUAGACUAUUACUGCACCAGGAACAAAACCCAUAUGAAGGUUUGAGGGACUUUCCAUGAUGAUGUUAGAGCCUUCAACAUUCCUUCAUCCACUUCUUUCCAAAACCACUGUCCAUCAGAUGACAGAUUUCAAAGUAUAGGGAUAUCACUAAGACUACCUUCUGUAGCCUGCUCGGCAUCUCCUGGGCUACAAGCAAAUGGGCUGCCCCAAGCAAGUCAGAGAGGCAGUGAUGAACAUGACAGUGUGCACCUUGCAAAACACAGGGUAAAAGAUGAUGUUAACCCGCAGAUUCCGUGAUAAUUUUGUGCUAAAACUGUGGCAAAAAGUUUACACAGAAAUGACAGAAGAAAUGUAGCUUGUCUUCUAAUCUUCCAGACUUCCAGAAUUUUGUUUCUCUGCAGCUCUUUUCCUAUAGUGUUUGGGUUAUGUCAGCUGCCCACCAUCAAGAAAUGGGAUUCUUCUUUCACACUGGGGUAAAUCAGGCAUAACUGCAUUGAAAAUGAUGGUGCUGAUGGUGUGACAGGUUAAUUGAUCCCUAAAUAUCAGCUUUCUGCAGGGCUGUGCAGAGUAUUCAAUGCUGAUCUUUCAGACCAUUCUACUAGUGUUUU